CCCUGGUAGUCCACCCCGUAAACGUUGGGAACUAGUUGUGGGGUCCAUUCCACGGAUUCCGUGACGCAGCUAACGCAUUAAGUUCCCCGCCUGGGGAGUACGGCCGCAAGGCUAAAACUCAAAGGAAUUGACGGGGACCCGCACAAGCGGCGGAGCAUGCGGAUUAAUUCGAUGCAACGCGAAGAACCUUACCAAGGCUUGACAUAUACGAGAACGGGCUAGAAAUAGUCAACUCUUUGGACACUCGUAAACAGGUGGUGCAUGGUUGUCGUCAGCUCGUGUCGUGAGAUGUUGGGUUAAGUCCCGCAACGAGCGCAACCCUCGUUCUAUGUUGCCAGCACGUAAUGGUGGGAACUCAUGGGAUACUGCCGGGGUCAACUCGGAGGAAGGUGGGGAUGACGUCAAAUCAUCAUGCCCCUUAUGUCUUGGGCUUCACGCAUGCUACAAUGGCCGGUACAAAGGGCUGCAAUACCGCGAGGUGGAGCGAAUCCCAAAAAGCCGGUCCCAGUUCGGAUUGAGGUCUGCAACUCGACCUCAUGAAGUCGGAGUCGCUAGUAAUCGCAGAUCAGCAACGCUGCGGUGAAUACGUUCCCGGGUCUUGUACACACCGCCCGUCAAGUCAUGAAAGUCGGUAACACCUGAAGCCGGUGGCCCAACCCUUGUGGAGGGAGCCGUCGAAGGUGGGAUCGGUAAUUAGGACUAAGUCGU
rnacentral:rRNA from 1 species